rnacentral:rRNA from 1 species
CCUACGGGUGGCAGCAGUGGGGAAUAUUGCGCAAUGGGGGGAACCCUGACGCAGCAACGCCGCGUGGAUGAUGAAGGCCCUCGGGUCGUAAAGUCCUGUUCUGGGGGAAGAAAAAUAGAAGGCCAAUACCCUUCUAUCCUGACGGUACCCCAGCAGAAAGCUCCGGCCAAUUAUGUGCCAGCAGCCGCGGUAAUACAUAAGGAGCGAGCGUUGUCCGGAAUCAUCGGACGUAAAGGGCUCGUAGGCGGUUCGGAAAGUCAGCUGUGAAAUCACCAGGCUCAACCUGGUACGGUCGGCUGAAACUCCCGAACUUGAGGGUAGGAGAGGAAAGCGGAAUUCCCGGUGUAGCGGUGAAAUGCGUAGAUAUUAGGAGGAACACCAGUGGCGAAGGCGGCCUGCUGGACAUCAACUGACGCUGAUGCGCGAAAGCGCGGGGAGCA